AAGGUAGAGGAAUAAAAAUCGCAACUGCCUAUAGCUCAAAAGGUAGGAUUUAUAACAUACCUUCUUCCACUUAGGUCUUCAAUUAUAUCACAUUGGUCAUCACAUUGGUCAAUUUCCUUUCACCUGUCUCAAUGUGAUGACCUAAUUAUUACCUAUCAACCCACACGUGGGAGUCAUAUGUUGCCCUAAGGCGUUAUCUAUAUGGAUUGUAUCCAUCCUUUGGAUUCCACAAUGUAUUCAAUCAUGUAAGACAUGUUGUCAACCAACUUUUAAAAGGUUUUUACCUUUGUAUUUUUGGGUGGCUCAGCAUGUUAGGCUUGUAACACUGAUGAUGCUCUUUUUAGAGAGCGAAAACGUUUUGUUGUGAUAUUUGUGGCCCUAUUAAGGGUUUUUAAAUAAAUGUAACUUUUACGAAGAAACAUUUUUAAUUAAAUUUACUUAUAUAAAUGAGAUUACAAGUUGAUACGUCUGCGUCUGUAGUUUCCAAUUUCUGUUACAUCUCCCUUUUUAUGCAAUAUUAGCAUACGAGCACUGCACCGAUGAAAUCAACGUUAGAUCUCUAAUAAAUCAAAGUAAAUAAUAACUGAUAGUUUGAACUAAAACUUGAAAAAUUAAUGAAAACGGUUAAUUAGAUUCACUUGAAUUGAAUUCAAUUAUGAAUUAAACUUAAUGAAUUAAAUUUUAAUCUAAUUGAAUUAAUUUGAUUAAAUAAUAAUUUAAUUUAAAGAAUAGAACAUUACUAUAUUAUUUAUUAAAGGCAAAUUGAGAUUUCUAUUUUAAAUCAGGUGAAACAUUCGAAAUUACUGAAUAUCGUGUUUGUAGUGAAAAUAGAACCAAAUGGAAAGUAACUAAAUGAGCACAAUGUAAAUUCCAAAUGCCAAAUAUUUAGCUACCUAAAGUUUUCCCACAUCUACCAGUAUUUUGAAUUCACUGAAAUUUGUUUAAACUCUAGCUUUAAAAGAAACCUUAAGUCUAAAGUUUUCGUACCAUUUUUUACUGUAGUAUUCCUCAGUAUGUUUAUACUUAUAACUAUAAGGAUUUCUAGUAAAUUCUAGAGCGCUUUUUAAAAUAAAUGAAUAUAGAUGAAUGCUUAUUUUGGUAAAGAAUUAUUGCUUUUGUGAAGGCUUGUGGGCAAAUCCCAUUUGUUAUCCAUAUCGUCUGAUUUUAGAAGCAAUAAUAAACAUAUCAAUAAUUUUAUAUAAAACAUGUUAGAAGUACAAACAUUACAAUACUUUUUUGGGACAAAAUUAAUGAAACAUAUCAUUAAAAUACUUUCAAGCGUUUUGAGAUUUUUAAACUGUAUGCUUUUGCUUGUGUCCAGAAUCUAUUUGGCAAUACAAAAUAUGGUAAUUGUAUGGUAUCUGCAUAAUUAUUUAUACAAUCAUAGAUAUUUCAUGGUACUGAUGGUAUGCUCACGAUAUCCUCCUAAUAGCAAGCAACGCACAACGACUACAAAA
rnacentral:lncRNA from 1 species